GAUGAACGCUGGCGGCGUGCCUAAUACAUGCAAGUCGAGCGAACAGACGAGGAGCUUGCUCCUCUGACGUUAGCGGCGGACGGGUGAGUAACACGUGGAUAACCUACCUAUAAGACUGGGAUAACUUCGGGAAACCGGAGCUAAUACCGGAUAAUAUAUUGAACCGCAUGGUUCAAUAGUGAAAGACGGUUUUGCUGUCACUUAUAGAUGGAUCCGCGCCGCAUUAGCUAGUUGGUAAGGUAACGGCUUACCAAGGCGACGAUGCGUAGCCGACCUGAGAGGGUGAUCGGCCACACUGGAACUGAGACACGGUCCAGACUCCUACGGGAGGCAGCAGUAGGGAAUCUUCCGCAAAGGGCGAAAGCCUGACGGAGCAACGCCGCGUGAGUGAUGAAGGUCUUCGGAUUGUAAAACUCUGUUAUUAGGGAAGAACAAAUGUGUAAGUAACUAUGCACGUCUUGACGGUACCUAAUCAGAAAGCCACGGCUAACUACGUG
rnacentral:rRNA from 1 species